UCCCCCUUGGCGCAGUCGGUAGCGCGUCAGGCUGUUAACCUGCAGGUCGUUGGUUCGAACCCAACAGGGGGAG